rnacentral:piRNA from 1 species
CUGCUUUUCAUGUGGUUUCCUCAUCCCUGU